rnacentral:rRNA from 1 species
UACAGAGGGUGCGAGCGUUAAUCGGAAUUACUGGGCGUAAAGCGUGCGUAGACGGUUAUUUAAGUCGGGUGUGAAAGCCCCGGGCUCAACCUGGGAAUUGCAUUCGAGACUGAAUAGCUAGAGUACGGUAGAGGGAAGUGGAAUUUCCGGUGUAGCGGUGGAAUGCGUAGAUAUCGGAAGGAACAUCAGUGGCGAAAGCGACUUCCUGGACCAGUACCGACGUUCAGGCACGAAAGCGUGGGGAGCAAACAGG